rnacentral:rRNA from 1 species
GCAUAACGCGAAGAACCUUACCAGGUCUUGACAUCCCCCUGACCGGCGCAGAGAUGUGCCUUUCCUUCGGGACAGGGGAGACAGGUGGUGCAUGGUUGUCGUCAGCUCGUGUCGUGAGAUGUUGGGUUAAGUCCCGCAACGAGCGCAACCCUUGACUUUAGUUGCCAGCAAGUAAGGUUGGGCACUCUAGAGUGACUGCCGGUGACAAACCGGAGGAAGGUGGGGAUGACGUCAAAUCAUCAUGCCCCUUAUGACCUGGGCUACACACGUACUACAAUGGCCGGUACAACGGGAAGCGAAGGAGCGAUCUGGAGCGAAUCCUUUAAAGCCGGUCUCAGUUCGGAUUGCAGGCUGCAACUCGCCUGCAUGAAGUCGGAAUUGCUAGUAAUCGCGGAUCAGCAUGCCGCGGUGAAUACGUUCCCGGGUCUUGUACACACCG